UACGUAGGGUGCAAGCGUUAAUCGGAAUUACUGGGCGUAAAGCGUGCGCAGGCGGUUUUGUAGGACCGAUGUGAAAUCCCCGGGCUUAACCUGGGAACUGCAUUGGUGACUGCAAGGCUUGAGUGUGUCAGAGGGAGGUGGAAUUCCGCGUGUAGCAGUGAAAUGCGUAGAUAUGCGGAGGAACACCGAUGGCGAAGGCAGCCUCCUGGGAUAACACUGACGCUCAUGCACGAAAGCGUGGGGAGCAAACAGG
rnacentral:rRNA from 1 species